GCAGGAGAGCCUGAGGAGAGGAAGUAAAAGAACAUUUCACCCUCCUGGGUAGGACUUGUGAAAUAUUAAAAGUUCUCCUAGCUGAAGAGGGACAAGAAGAUCCUUCUUUACAACAUCAGCAAAUGGAAGUCAUUUAAACCAGAUGAGCGACAGGCUGGGGAAUUGGCAUACCUACAGCACAGGAUACACAGAACCAUGCACCUAUUUCAAGAGAAUGAAGAGUGGGUGGCCGGAAGAGAGAAACUCUCUCCCCCAUUUAACCUGUAAUUUGACAACAUCUGUGAAGAAUUAUCCCCAGCAUUGGCAUUGUAAUUGUUGUAUCUACCAUCAAUCACCAGGGAGGGGAGAUUACUUGAAAUAGAUGUUAACAGCAUUAUAGUUUAACAACAUGAAAGCAAAAAAAAUGAGAGGAACGAGAUCUGUAAUACUGCCCAAAUUCAUCAGGGAGCUUGAAAGAUGCUAAAUUUCUUAACACAAAGAACCUGAAUUCUCAACAAACCUGGAUAUACAGAAGCAGAGCUCAUUAACCAGCUGCUCUCCAUUUACCUGUAUCUGAUAUGCUGAGGAAAUAUUUACUUGGUUUUGGAGUGCUGAUUUUUAGAUAAAUACUUACUUUAA